UAGGGUGUAGCUCAGUGGUAGAGCACUCGCCUAGCAUGUGCAAGGCCUUGGGUUCGAUCCUCAGCACCACAU
rnacentral:tRNA from 1 species